rnacentral:lncRNA from 1 species
GAGCAUCAAUAGGUUUCAUUAUUGUUAAUUUGAAUAGAAUAGAAUAUGUUGUAAUUAAUUUGGGCUCACUUUAGGGUCCCAAAUAGAAAAGAUAGGCUAGAAUAAGGUGCCUUUAGCAUAAUAGGGGGUGUAGGUAUCAUUUUAGCUUGUUCCUAGCCUUUUAGGAAGGCAAUUUGACCUAGUUUUUAAAAGGACAAGCCUAGGAUGCGAGUUUGACUUAGUCAAACCCUAAGGUUGCCCAUUUUUCC